GACGAACGCUGGCGGCGUGCUUAACACAUGCAAGUCGAACGGAAAGGCCCUGCUUUUGUGGGGUGCUCGAGUGGCGAACGGGUGAGUAACACGUGAGUAACCUGCCCUUGACUUUGGGAUAACUUCAGGAAACUGGGGCUAAUACCGGAUAGGAUCUCCUGCUGCAUGGUGGGGGUUGGAAAGUUUCGGCGGUUGGGGAUGGACUCGCGGCUUAUCAGCUUGUUGGUGGGGUAGUGGCUUACCAAGGCUUUGACGGGUAGCCGGCCUGAGAGGGUGACCGGACACAUUGGGACUGAGAUACGGCCCAGACUCCUACGGGAGGCAGCAGUGGGGAAUAUUGCACAAUGGGCGGAAGCAUGAUGCAGCAACGCCGCGUGCGGGAUGACGGCAUUCGGGUUGUAAACCGCUUUCGCCUGUGACGAAGCGUGAGUGACGGUAAUGGGUAAAGAAGCACCGGCUAACUACGUG
rnacentral:rRNA from 1 species